rnacentral:lncRNA from 10 species
UUACCACUCCUGUGUGUUGAGGCAGCCUCGGUAUUUGCACAGCUGGGAGAGACCUACUGGGACGUUUGAUGCAAAGCCAGGCGACACAGAAGAAGGAAGAGGAGGAAUUCAGUCUGAGGCAGGUCGAGUAUACGCUGCUGGAGGCAUUAAGGUGAAGGUUUUUGUUGUAGGCAGAACAAUGGCCCCCUAAAGAUGUCCAAAUCCAGGUCCCUGGAAUUUAUGAGUAGGUUACUAUAUAUGGCAAAAGGGACUUUGAGUUGUGAUUAAGGGGUGUUAUGGGCUGAACUGCAUUGCCCCCAAAUUCUUAUAUUAAAAUUUGAAUCCCCAGCACCUCAGAAUUGGACUGUAUUUGGAGACAGAGUGUUUAAAGCGGUCAUUAGGUUAAUGUUGUCAUGAGGGUGGGCCCUAAUCAAAUCUGCCUGGUGUCCCUGUAAGAAGAUGAGAUUAAGGAACAGACACAUACUGAGAAAGGACCACAUGGACACACAGGGAGAAGACGGCCAUCUGCAAGCCAAACAGAGAGCCCUCAGAAGAAACCAAACCUGCUGACACCUUGCUCUCCGACUUCUGGCCCACAGAACUGUGAGAAAACAAAUUUCUGGUGUUUAAGCCAUCCAGUCUCGGCACUUUGUCAUGGCAGCCUGAGCAGACUCAUAAAAGGAUUUUGAGAUUGGGGGUUAUCCUGGGCCAUCCAGGAGGGCCCAAUGUAAGGUCUCAAUAUAAGUGCCCAAUAUACAGCAUCACAUAGGGGUCCUUAUAAAUGAAAGACAGAGGCAGGAGGGCCGGAGAAAAGCUGUGAUGACAUAAGAACACCAGCCGUCUUCUGUGGACAUUGGCUACGAAGAUGGAAGGGGUCUCAAACCAGGGACUGCAGGCGGCCUCCAGAAGCUGAAAAAAGCAAGGAACAGAUUCUCCCCUAGAGACUCCAGAAGGACACAACCCUGCCUGUACCUGGGCUUUAGCCCUGUGAGAUCCAUGUUGGACUACUCACCUCCAGAACUGUGAGAAAUAAAUUUUUGUUGGUUUAAGCUACUAAAG